rnacentral:rRNA from 1 species
UACAGAGGGGGCAAGCGUUGUUCGGAAUUACUGGGCGUAAAGCGCGUGUAGGCGGGCCUGCAAGUCGGACGUGAAAUCCCUGAGCUCAACUCAGGAACUGCAUCCGAAACUGCGGGCCUGGAGUGGUGGAGAGGGAAGCAGAAUUCCUGGUGUAGAGGUGAAAUUCGUAGAUAUCAGGAGGAACACCGGUGGCGAAGGCGGCUUCCUGGACACUUACUGACGCUGAGACGCGAAAGCGUGGGGAGCAAACAGG